AGUGAACGCUGGCGGUAGGCCUAACACAUGCAAGUCGAACGGCAGCACAGUAAGAGCUUGCUCUUACGGGUGGCGAGUGGCGGACGGGUGAGGAAUACAUCGGAAUCUACUUUUUCGUGGGGGAUAACGUAGGGAAACUUACGCUAAUACCUCAUACGACCUACGGGUGAAAGCAUGGGAUCUUCGGACCUUGCGCGAUUGAAUGAGCCGAUGUCGGAUUAGCUAGUUGGCGGGUUAAAGGCCCACCAAGGCGACGAUCCGUAGCUGGUCUGAGAGGAUGAUCAGCCACACUGGAACUGAGACACGGUCAAGACUCCUACGGGAGGAAGCAGUGGGGAAUAUUGGACAAUGGGCGCAAGCCUGAUCCAGACAUACCGCGUGGGUGAAGAAGGCCUUCGGGUUGUAAAGCCCUUUUGUUGGGAAAGAAAAGCAGCAGGUUAAUACCCCGCUGUUCUGACGGUACCCAAAGAAUAAGCACCGGCUAACUUCGUG
rnacentral:rRNA from 1 species